AUCGCUUCUCGGCCUCUUGGCUCAGAUCAAGUGUAGUAUCAUGUUCUUAUCAGUUUAAUAUCUGAUACGUCCCCCAUAAGGGGACUGGGAUAUUAAAUGGAUUUUUGGAACGGGAAGAUGGAUGCAGAACUUGAUCCGUCCACUCGACGGAGUGAGGUUUUGGAGAAGUAAUUGAAGACGGUGCCCAUUU